UUUCUUUUCAUGGAAGAUACUUUUAAUGUUAUUAGCUUUUGAUUAUAUUUACAGUUAUUUUCUUCAGAAGCAAAGUAAUGGCAGACUCACACAACAGCAUGGUACAAGCCGCAAUGGAAAGGGGUGCAAUGCAAGCUUUAUUGCACUAUUAUAGUGCAACAACUCUAAAGAAAGUUGCCUCUGAGAUGAAGAAGCAAAUGACUACAUUCCAAAGCAGCUGAAAGUUCUAUUAUGAAAUGCUGACAAGUUGAAAGGAUGAAAAAAAGUGCCCGAAACAUAGGAUGGUGAACAAAUCAACUUAAAAGUGUCCACCUCCACCCCCGCAGCCCCCGGACUUCUACAUACCAACUCCACAGUCAUACCAACUUGAAGAAGGAAGACAUAUACCAAAACAAGUAAAUCAUGGCAUACUUUGAAACUGCUCUGGCAAGUAUUUACUAUGGCAAACAGCAGUCAGCAUUGUGCUUUUCAUCUUUUUUUCCUUUUAAAUGUAUUACUGAUGAUCGAGCAAUUUCACCUUGAGCAACUGUAGGGAAGUCAGUUUUGGCAGAUAGUAAAAAAAUGGAAUAUUUGAAUAAUG